CGUUAUCGCGUUCGAGAGUGACGCCGAUGUAAAAUGGAGCCGUCCAGCAUCAUUGCACGGAGAGAGAAAGAGAGAGGGUUGCGUCGAAGAUGGAAGGACGACGAACGAUACUACCAGGACGUUAUACUACACGAGCUCUCCGGGGGUCUGUGGGCCAUUUUCAGAAUACAGUCUCUCACAUAGCCCUUCAGUGGAAGAUGUAGCCAUGGCUUUCGGUUUCUAGACAGCAACUUCCGUCCUAUUAUACGCUUCUAGAAAGCAUGCGAUCUCCCUUGCAGUAUGCCUGGCAGAAGUUUGCAAACAACAUAAAAAGUCCGGCCCGCCCUAGUCGAUCAGACUCAUACAUCUUUCCGAACAAUUGGACCCGGAAUUGAAUCGCUGCUUUAUAGCGCUUCGGUUAUUAAAAACAUUUGUAAAAAAAAACUGAAUAAAUAAAUGGCACAUACAAAAUGUAAA
rnacentral:misc_RNA from 1 species